CAGCCGCCACGGUAAUACGUAGGGCGCAAGCGUUAUCCGGAAUUAUUGGGCGUAAAGAGCUCGUAGGCGGUUUGUCGCGUCUGCCGUGAAAGUCCGGGGCUCAACCCCGGAUCUGCGGUGGGUACGGGCAGACUAGAGUGAUGUAGGGGAGACUGGAAUUCCUGGUGUAGCGGUGAAAUGCGCAGAUAUCAGGAGGAACACCGAUGGCGAAGGCAGGUCUCUGGGCAUUAACUGACGCUGAGGAGCGAAAGCAUGGGGAGCGAACAGGAUUAGAUACCCCAGUAGUCCCUGUCUCUUAUAC
rnacentral:rRNA from 1 species